UCGCUACUGUGAUUCUAGGGGGCGCGUUUGCCAUGAUGCCGUUGCUUUGUUUGCACUUUUUAUAUACGUUUUGGUAAAGAUGUUCCUUAAUAAAAUUAAAAAUGGUUAACAAUGAAUGAAAAUCGAGUUCUUGUUAGGUUCAAGGAAGUAAUGGUUUCACAUAACCAGGACGUCUAAGUAAAAAGUACAGAAUCUUUCCUUAUCUUUCUCAUAUGAUUUGAUAUAGGAGUAAAGGAUAGCCUAUAAGCAGGAAGGCGCAAUUAAAUGCCAAAACGCACAAAACAUCUCUGAACGUCCUAGCUUGUCACUGUCAUUAUCAGAAUUAUGAAGAAAGUGCGCCUCAGAAAUUUCUAUCCUCCAACAAAACAAAAAAGCUGAGAAAUAGAAGACAAUAGGCAAAUUAGGAUUCCACUCGCUUGCAGCAACAAACCGCACAAAAAUAUAAGUG